CAGUCGAACGAGCGACCCGGGCUUGCCCGGUUAGCUAGUGGCGGACGGCUGAGUAACACGUAAGUAAUCUGCCCCGAAGAGGGGGAUAAUCCAGAGAAAUCUGGCCUAAUACCCCGUACCUUCCUCUCCAGCCUGCUGGAUUGGAAGAAAGGCCUAGGCCGCUUUGGGAGGAGCUUGCGGCUUGUCAGGUAGUUGGUGGGGUAAUGGCCUACCAAGCCGAAGACGAGUAACCGGUGUGAGAGCACGAUCGGUCAGAGGGGGACUGAGACACGGCCCAGACUCCUACGGGAGGCAGCAGUGGGGAAUAUUGCACAAUGGGGGAAACCCUGAUGCAGCCAUGCCGCGUGUGUGAAGAAGGCCUUCGGGUUGUAAAGCACUUUCAGUUGUGAGGAAAAGUUAGUAGUUAAUACCUGCUAGCCGUGACGUUAACAACAGAAGAAGCACCGGCUAACUCCGUGCCAGCAGCCGCGGUAAUACGGAGGGUGCGAGCGUUAAUCGGAAUUACUGGGCGUAAAGCGCACGCAGGCGGUUUGUUAAGCUAGAUGUGAAAGCCCCGGGCUCAACCUGGGAUGGUCAUUUAGAACUGGCAGACUAGAGUCUUGGAGAGGGGAGUGGAAUUCCAGGUGUAGCGGUGAAAUGCGUAGAUAUCUGGAGGAACAUCAGUGGCGAAGGCGACUCCCUGGCCAAAGACUGACGCUCAUGUGCGAAAGUGUGGGUAGCGAACAGGAUUA
rnacentral:rRNA from 1 species